rnacentral:sRNA from 1 species
AAUAUAUGACAUGGAGCAGUAUUCUAGUUUGAAAAUGCUAUGAAGACGGGCCUAAAAAUUCGUUAAAGAGCAUACCUGUGAAACGUCUUGUGCUUGCUUCUUUCGCCCAGAUUGGGGUGGGUGCUGGAUAUGAGUUUGCAUGGGCUUUCUGUAAUGGCAUACAGUUUAAAAGACCCAUCAUACGCGGAGACUUAAGUACGUGCUUUUUGUACGGCUUAAGAUUAAACCUACUAUGUGGCUAGCGCUAUGAGUAGUGUAGCUUGCCUUGAGUGAGAGUAUUGGGAUAUAUAGAUCAGGGAAUUUAUCUAGGCAUAGAUAAAUUUCUAUCGCUAUUUGAAAUUUCUCUUGCAAAAAAGUGCUAAUAGCAAUUUAUUCAUUUGAAGAAAUUUCCUAGACUGUAGAUUAUAUAGAAUUGCAGUGCGUACUAAGUGGCAAUCAAGUAAUGCUUAUCGCAAGGUGGCAUGCUUUUUCUUAAAUGGGAACGGCCGGAUGGUAACAGAGGGUGAAAAAGUGGGAAAUCCAACUUGACCUAAGACGCAGAGUUUGCUAUAUAAGAUUCCAUGG